rnacentral:misc_RNA from 1 species
UAUGGAAACUAUCCUAUAUGAAUGGAGAAAAAAAAGGGGUAAAAUUUAACCUCAUUUGGAUGUCCAAACCCAGGGCUACAAUUAUCAUCAGGUUCAAGUCAUUUACUUUGCAACAUACUGUUGGUGCACCAGCAAAUAUAGAGUAAACUUCAAUCAUUUGCUUGAUAUAAGGCUUUGAUAUUAGCUGUGCUUCUGCCUCUAAGGGACUUUCCUGCAAACUGAAACAUCAUAAUUGAUCAAACAUUAGCUGCAAAACUCAAACACAUAACAGACGUAUAUUUAAAUAAACUCUUAAAACCUCUUAAUAAUUCACAUAAUAAGCUUCAUCCUAUCUGUAUGUUUCGAUAUUUAUCUGCACAAGAGAAUAUACUAUUAUCUGAAACAAUUAACUGAA